UCGUGAGACAGUUCGGUCCCUAUCUGUGGCGGGCGGAGGAUGCUUGAGGGGUCUCGCCCCCAGUACGAGAGGACCGGGGUGACCGGACCUCUGGUGUGGCUGUUGUCGCGCCAGCGGCAUAGCAGCGUAGCCAUGUCCGGAAAGGAUAAGCGCUGAAAGCAUCUCAAGCGCGAAGCCUACCCCAAGAUGAGGCAUCCCACACCGUUAAGGUGGUAAGGACCCAGGGAGACUACCUGGUUGAUAGGCUCCACGUGUACGCGCGGCAACGCGCUCAGCGGAGGAGUACUAAUCGUCCGAGGUCUUACCACCCC
rnacentral:rRNA from 1 species